AUUGAACGCUGGCGGCAGGCCUAACACAUGCAAGUCGAGCGAGCGGCGGACGGGUGAGUAAUGUAUGGGGAUCUGCCUGAUGGCGGGGGAUAACUACUGGAAACGGUAGCUAAUACCGCAUCCCAUCAGAUGAACCCAUAUGGGAUUAGCGAGUAGGUGAGGUAACGGCUUACCUAGGCGACGAUCCCUAGCUGGUCUGAGAGGCUGAUCAGGCAGACUGGUAGGGAGACACGUCACAGACGCAGACGGGAGGCAGAAGGGGGGAAGAUUGCACAUGGGGCGCAAGCCUGAUGCAGCCAUGCCGCGUGUAAGAAGGAGGCCUUCGGGUUGUAAAGUACUUUCAGUCGGGAGGCGUUACCGACAGAAGAAGCACCGGCUAACUCCGUGCCAGCAGCCGCGGUAAUAC
rnacentral:rRNA from 1 species